rnacentral:rRNA from 1 species
UACGGAGGGGGCUAGCGUUGUUCGGAAUUACUGGGCGUAAAGCGUGCGCAGGCGGUUAUGCAAGACAGAGGUGAAAUCCCCGGGCUCAACCUGGGAACUGCCUUUGUGACUGCAUAGCUAGAGUACGGUAGAGGGGGAUGGAAUUCCGCGUGUAGCAGUGAAAUGCGUAGAUAUGCGGAGGAACACCGAUGGCGAAGGCAAUCCCCUGGACCUGUACUGACGCUCAUGCACGAAAGCGUGGGGAGCAAACAGG